AGAUUGAACGCUGGCGGCAGGCCUAACACAUGCAAGUCGAGCGGUAGAGAGGUGCUUGCACCUCUUGAGAGCGGCGGACGGGUGAGUAAUGCCUAGGAAUCUGCCUAGUGGUGGGGGAUAACGUUCGGAAACGGACGCUAAUACCGCAUACGUCCUACGGGAGAAAGCGGGGGACCUUCGGGCCUCGCGCCAUUAGAUGAGCCUAGGUCGGAUUAGCUAGUUGGUGAGGUAAUGGCUCACCAAGGCGACGAUCCGUAACUGGUCUGAGAGGAUGAUCAGUCACACUGGAACUGAGACACGGUCCAGACUCCGUACGGGAGCGAGCGAGUGGGGAAUAGUUGGAACAAGUGGGACGAAACGGCCUAGACUCCGAGCCAGUGCUGCGUUGUGAGGAAGUAGGUUCUUGGUAUUAGAAGUCUACGUUUAAGGU
rnacentral:rRNA from 1 species